GAAAUAUUCUCAUGUCUCCUUUUUAAGCUAAACAGUAGUAUGCUAUGCAUCCUUUUCCUUUGUAUCUCUAUUUUAAUUCAAUGUAUCCUGCAGAUAACUCCAUACUAUAUAGAAAAUCUUAUUUUUUAAACAUAUUUUUAUUAUUAUUUUUACAGAUAUAAAAUACUCUAUCAUGUGGAACAUCAUUUUUAUUCAACUAGUCCUGUAAUCAGACAUCUGGGUUAUGUCCAUUCUUUACCUAUUACAGCAAAAUGUCAAUGAAUCUUUUGUGCAUAUGUAUUUUCAUAUUUUGUCAGUGUAUCUUUGGAGUGGUUUCCUGCAAGCGGAUUUGUUGGAUUAAAAGCUGAGGAAGACUGGCCCUGAGCUAACAUCUGUGCCCGUCUUCCUCUACUUUAUAUGUGAGACGCCUACGACAGCAUGGCUUGCUAAGCGGUGCCAUGUCCACACCCGGGAUCCAAACUGGUGAACCCCGGGCCUCUGAAGUGGAACGUGUGAACUUAACUGCUGCGCCACCGGGCUGGCCCCAAAAGCAACUGAUGGAUAUGCAAACUCUGUCUUGUUUGGUUGAGAUUUAAUUGACUUCCUUCUCCACUGUGGAAAAAGUAGUUUCAUUACCUACCUGUAAAUUGGACUGGAUCCUGCUACCUUGCACAAGUUGUCAACCCUUACCAAAUUUGCAAUUCUUCCAGUUCCUUUGCCAUCUGGCUGCUGUCCUCCAACGCAUGUUUCCACAUUUCUCCUUCCUUCCUAACUUGGCACCACCAAGAAGAAAAACCUGACUGCGCAGAUCCUUAUAGAGACUCUACGUUAUUUAUUGCUGGCCUUUCCCUCCAGGAUCUGAAGAAACACUGAGAGCUAAAGCCUGUCGACAUGGUAUCAACCCUGAAAGACGUAUCACCACAGAAGAACAUGCAUGGGCUGGAUUUCUCCCUGAACAAGUCACUGUGUGGACCACUAAGGAAGUUUUGUGAAACGCUUGAGUUGUGCAUGUCCUUAUACAAGAAGUAACCAAGACUAGACAUCACUAAGAGCACUGAUGUCUUAACUUCAAGAAACUCAAUGAGCUGUGCUCCAUAAUCAAGAGUUCCAUCCACCAACCCUUGGAAUCCACUGGACUGAAUAUUCUCAGAGUUUAACUCCUGGCUCUUCACUUUAACCUAACUUUUUAUAUUAAUAUUUCUAUUUUUCAUUUAAGCCCUCUCCCGUUUAACAGGACUGAUCUCCAGGGUUCUAAGACAACUGACCUUGCCAUUACUUCUCAGUAGAGGAUUCAAUUAAUUUUGCAGGUACAACUCCAACAGGAGUCCUCACAAGAGUAUUUCUUAGACCCCGGUUCAUCUCACUGUGGAGAUUCAUGGUCACCUCUGAGUUGUUCAGCAGUGAAUGAUAUUCAUUUUUCUUGAACAAAAAGGUAGAGGGGACUGACAAUGUUGAACUUUACCUGAGCUCCAGAAAAUAGUGAAGGCUAAGAGAUCUCCCCAAAAUCUCCCACAAUUUUGUGUUCUGGAAAACAGCCUAUUGAAAAGAACCACCCUCCCGCAUAUGACUUAGAUGAGACUUGCUGUCCACUCUUUCUCGUGAGUCCUAGAAGACUCCUGGAGGUCUCCCUUGUUUACCUGUAACAAGGACAAAUAUAGACUUUUCCCCUUUUGCCUGAAACUGCUGACAUAACCAGACACAAAUCUGUCUCCUUUCACUCCUAACCAAUUCUCUAUUCUUUGUCUCAUGAGUGAUUAGCUAAGAUUAGAACUGUUUGUCCUCCUGAAACUAGCUAGACUCAGAGACAAACAUUUCCCAUUCAGCUAAUCACUGAAUUUCCCCUGAUGGCAAUUCAAUCCUAACCAUAAAUCCCCUUACUUGUAACUUGUCUGCUCCUCCUUGUAAAAGUCUAAGGCCAAACGACCUUCCAAGACACUCUGAUCUUUGCAUCUAGGGGGAGAAGGGGCUCUUCCUAUUGUAAUAGCCUGAAUGAAAUCAUCUCUUUAAUUGUCUGAUUCACUUUGUCUUAUGCAGUACCAAGGGGAAUUACCCAGGUGGCGUAGGGGAGUGGGUGCCAGGGGCAGUUGCAUUCCCUUUCUUUUCCACUUUCUAGACAAGUGAAAAAAUGGAGGCAAACAGCUAUCAUCUUAUAGAACUGUUAGGUAAGACUACAAGAGACACUGAUAUAUUCUGUUUGAGUAAUUUCUACUUUAGAGAAAUGGAAAACAGGCAGUUAUAUGUUUUUAAAGAAAUUUACAUUGUUCAGUUAUAGUGAAUAUUCCCAUUGACAAAAUAAAGAUUGUUUUAUUAUUUUUAAAUGCAUUUCAUUUAGUGCAUGCCUGCCCAUUUUUAAAUAAUACCCCCAUCACUCUGAGUAAGUAAGGGAGCUGGGGGAAGGGAGAAAAUUAUAUCAUAUCGGCUGAGCAUCCAGUAAGUGCCAGGCUGAGCUAGACAUUUAAAUUCACUUAAUCCUUUUAACAACCUGUGAAAGGUAGGUAUUAUCCCUACAUUAGAGACAAGGAACUGAGACUUAGAGGUGUUAAUAUCCCACCUAGGAUCACAUGCCUAGCAACCAGUAGAGUUUCAUGCUUUCUCAAUAUCGGAUAUGGCUUCAGAGCUAAUUGUUUGGAAAUCAGUAAACAAUCUAUGAAUUUAGAAUUCACUCCUAAGACAAACACAUAUCUUUGCCUUCUACUUGUG
ensembl:lncRNA